UACGUAGGGGCCGAGCGUUGUCCGGAGUUACUGGGCGUAAAGCGCGCGCAGGCGGCUCGUCAAGCCUGACGUGAAAGCCCCCGGCUCAACCGGGGAGGGUCGUCGGGGACUGGCGGGCUUGAGGUCGGCAGGGGUUGGUGGAAUUCCCGGUGUAGAGGUGGAAAUUCGUAGAUAUCGGGAGGAACACCAGUGGCGAAGGCGGCUCACUGGUCCGGUACUGACGCUGAGGUGCGAAAGCGUGGGGAGCAAACAGG
rnacentral:rRNA from 1 species